GCCGCGAGAACGCGUGCUCUCCCCGUGCUGAGUUUUUCCGAGAGCCCGAGGCACAGGACUGACAUGCGUCGGGUUCUUUUAAAAAAAAAAAAUGACUGAAGUGCCGUUGAAUGUGCCAUGUCGUGUCAGUUUCUGCGGUACAGCAAAGUCACCCAGUCGUACGUUCAUAGACACCCUUUUUCUCAAAUUAUCUUCCCUCACAGUCUAUCACGAGAGACUGGACCUCAUUCCCUGGGCUGUACAGCGGGACCUCACUGCUUCUCCCACAGCAAGAGAAGAGACCCCAGACCUCUCAAGUGAUGUUUCCGAGGCGCUCCUCGAGCCGACGCGGGCCGGCCCGGCAGGUGCUUCUUGGAGCCGGUUCUCACGCUGACCGUGCAGCCCUCACUACCCUUGGAGGGUGCAUUGAUGGGCAUCCGUAAAGACCGGGUCUGCCUCUCACAGUCCAACAGGAAAGGCAAUGAGGCAGCCAUCGGAGAUCUGCAGAUACACAUAAAUAUAGGAGAUUUUAAAGCCAUUCUGGAAUAUGCACUGGCCCCUCCCACGUAGGCUCUUGACACUUGGCCAGCGGACCCCGUCUUUGCUCUGUGCCACCCAGAGAGAGCCCGCGAAGUCCUCCAUGGUUCAUUUCUCCCGUUGGUGAGCGCUGGCUCAUGUUUGCGCAGCAAAGCUCAGCGUCUUGCUGUAACAGCCUCUGGGGCUGCGUGCCCACCAGCCCUCCUUGGAGGAGAGCGCCCGGUCCUGGCUGGGCCGCCCAGAGCACACGCAGAAGGUCAAGCUCGCAGCGCAGAACCCUAGUUCCAGGGGCAGUGGUUACUUCGGAGGACAGGUAACUUCGAUCACCUUACAUGAAGGUCUGAAGGUCAGCAGGCCCCACAGGUAGCCUUCGUGUUUAAGAGGCCGGGACCAAAGGUGAAGCCUGCCAGCAACACCAGAGUUGCAUCCCAAACUCAGUCCAACUUGCCAUUCGGAGGGCAGGCACCUCACAAUUCUGGUGGAAAGGAUCCAAGAACCCCUGCCUGCUGGACCUGCAGACAGACUCAGAUUCUCCAGGACGAGGCCCCUGCGGAAAGAUGGUGGGAGGAGAGAAGGUGAACUUGGUCCCGGGACUGCAUCAGGAAAAUUCAGUCUCCCGGGUUCUUGCCCGUGACCUGCCCGCCGGACCCUCUGGAUCACCAUGACAACCAGAAAACGCCUCCUCCCCAUCAGCAGGUCCCUGGAACGGACCCCCGCACCCACGGAAACUAGCAUCCCAACUGACCACACUUGGUAGAGGGUGCAACAUAAGAUCGUCUUGCUUCUGUGUCCAGACUAUGGCUCCCCGGGCUUGUUCGGAACACUGGAAGAAGGGCCUCUGUCUCUCCCUGCCACGGACGCUGCCAGGACAGUGCCAAUCAGGAGUGGAAAAGAUGUACUGAGAAAGGAUCCGUGCACGUCGUCGACUCGGAGCUGACCUGUGUCACCUGGAGGAUGCUGCCGAAAGUAACGAUGCGUCACCUCCGAGGUCCCGUCGUGGAAGACCUCAAAGAACAGGGACCCUGGGAGUUUGGGGAAAGGAAACUCUCCAAAGGCAUCUGAAAGAAGGAGAAAACACAGGAAGUACUGGCGAAAAGAUGUGAGACCCUCCUGUAAACGUUCCUGAGUCACUUGCAGGCGGCAUCCCCUUUUUCCUUCCCUGGAGCAGAAGCGGCAGACAGACUCUCAGGAAGACAUCCUGUAUGUGGCCCAUUCUCCGCAGUCAGGACAUCUUGAGCCGUGCGUUGCUCUCUGCUGUACCUUCCAGCCCUGGGGCCUCUGACAUUUACUUUCCUAGUGUGUCCAACGCUCCAAUUUCUUUGAGGAGGGCCCAGCUGUGCUCCAAAGUGCGCUGCAGAAGAAACUACACUGAAUUCUCUAUGAAGGAGGCAUUUUUCUUCCCCCCGUUCUACAAGAUGGAGAAACCGUGGAUCAGAGGAGUUAAGCAAAUCACCGAGGCCACACAGCUGGUGGGACCCCAGCAUUGGUAUGUUUUAAAGGUGCCCCCAAUGAUGAUGAUGCCAAUGAUGCUGGUAGGAGCAAUCAAGCUACCAUGACAGGUGACCAUAAUGAUACUUCCUGCUUGCUGUUUCUUUGAGAGCAGUUGGGGGGAGAACAGGACCCCCCAAGGCUAUUCUAUACACAGAGGGAGAGGGGAGCACCAAAGGGGAACGGACACUGAUGCUCUUCUCCAGGGACACAGCUCCAAAAAGCCAGAUCUGGGAAAGAAGCAGGCGGAGUGGUACCCAUCAGGCAAGUGAAUUCUAUCAGGUCGUCGGAUUAACCUACAUGUGGCUUUGAUCAGACCUCUUCGUGCUCACAGCCUGCACUUUUGGUUGGUACCCCUUCUCAUCCACACAGAAGAAAACCACUCCUCACACACACCUUGAUUUUUUUACCUUGGAACUUCUGACCUCAAAACCCUCUGACCUAAACUCUGUGCUUCCUACGUUACCUGGCUGGGGAGCAUCGCUCUCCUGGCAGUGGAUCUGGGGGGGAAUUUAGAACAUCUGAUGGUGUGACCAGCUAGUCCGUGAGGACGUGAGACUCACAUUGGGAAAGAAUUGUGAUUGACACCGUGAGGGGGAAGUGGCUGGCCUCGGGGUCACAGAGUUUCCCUUUGAAAGGUCCUUCCCGUUUCCUUCCAGCACGCGGUGGCACCGGAUCAGUAUUAAACCAAAGGUAACCACAGGGCUUUCAUACCAAUUAAGUGAGAUUAAAGAGGAAAUGAUUACUAAGAGUUAAAUAGCCAAAAUAAGAGGAAUACUAAUGGUGCUGUAUUGGCACAAAUUAGCACUCAAGGUUGCCAGGAAGGGCAGUAAGAUCCGUAUGGGUAACUCAGCACAUGUUGCCUCACCGUCUCAUCUCACCCUCCCAGCCACUGCCAUUCGUCCUGCUUAUCAGCAAAGGAAGUGCACAAGGGAGUCAAGGCCCUCCCUCCAACACAUGGCCUGAGUGCCGGGCAGAGUCAUCAUUUGAACCCAGCUCUGAUGCUGAAUCAGGACCAGAUACAUCAUUUACAGGCCCCUGGUUUUAAAACGAAUUAAGAAUUUCAAAACGGCAGCAGAAGAGCCUUAAACCAAAUGCAGGGUCCUUCUAAGUGGGGGCCGGGGCCCCACUGAGUCACAGUCUGCAUCCAGGGGAACUCUGUGUCCCUUAAACUUAAAGCUCUAUCUUCGACUUCUGGCCCCCAGAACUCUGAGAAAAUAGAUCAGUGUUGCUUUAAGUCAGUAAGUUCAUGAUAACAUUGUUACAGCAGCAACAGGAAACUCAUACAACUGGCCUGAAAAUGUAUCUUCUGCCUCCUGAAGCAGCCUGCUCAGUGUAGGCAGGGACUUGGAGCAGGGCAGCCCUGGGUCGUCCUCCAGACCCCUUCCAUUGCCCAGGAGAACAGGUGUUUAUUACAGUCCCCAGAGAGGCCCUGUCUUUCACGAAUUUCCCCCUUUAAUAAUGUGCUCCAAUGAGCGAGGUAUUGCACUAGAACAAUUUGCUUCUAGGAAUUAAUACACCUAGCAGCAUUAAUAGAACAUGCUGGCAUACUCUGAAAAUUCCACUUCAUCGCUCAUGAGGUUGCCGAAGACAUGGCAGAGGAGUGGGGAUGCUCACUGAGCCACGGAUCCGUUUACCCCAAACUUCCAUUCCCUCCCUCCCUGCUGGGUCCAAACCAGGGCACGUGGGAGCGGGGAGGUCCUUUCCGACUUCACAGACCCUCCCCACCCCACAGAGCCUGCUGACGGGUCCCGCCUGGGGACAGAUGGAAAUUCUCCACCUUCUUGCAAAUUUCCCAGCACCCUUUAGUGACCUCCCUUCCUUCUGAUUUUGAUCCAGACCACAGGUGAUGGGAGGGAGAGGACAGGUGACAGGCAUUGAUGGGCUUCCAGAAGGCAGGGCAUUGACUGGACCAGAAGAGUACAAUUCUUUUUAGAACACACUGAAUGACUGACUUCUGAAAAAAAAUAAGUUUACACCAGAAUAUGCAGAGGGAAGCUGACCCCUCGGAACACCUACAAACAUUCCCAUUUAAACACUCAUUUCAGAUACAUUAUUUUUAAACCAAAUGACGGAGCAUCAGGGACACCUACAAUUUGAAGAAAGAAUCCAGGUUUAUCACAAAGUGGGUAACGACUUCGAGAAAGCAGUGUUGGUUAACAGUACGAAACGUGAGACUGAGAGGAGAAUUUUGAAAGAAAAUAUUGCUUUAAAAAACAACUGUGCGCUAGAAGAAAUCAUCUCUCUCACGUGCUUUUAGAUAAUGGUCCCUUUGCCAUUUCCACUGAAUUCUUUCCUCCCUACUUUGAAAUAUUACAGUUUGGAAACAUCCCAUAAUGCACCCAACGUAGCCUUUGGGGUGUGUAUUUGAUAAUGACUUUGGCUUUCCUCUGCUUGGUGCCCAGUAAUGAGAAAGUGGAGGUUGUCUAUGACAAGACAUGUGCUGGGGUUGGGGUGGGGGGAAGGAGGAGGAAGAGAAGGGAGAAGAGGAGAGAAGGGGGGAGAGGGAAGGAAGAAAAAGUCCUAACUCUUGUGAUAAACUCUAGAACAUCCUCUAAGCCCUUUAUUCUGAAGUCUAGACCUCGUUUGCCCAGAGCAUCGCAUGAUCACCAAUGCUUUGCUCAGGGUGUCCCCACCCAUAGAGAAAGAAAGGAUUCAGCCAGAUGCGAACAUUUUAAAAAUAAAUAAGUGAUCCUCCCCUAGGAAAUCAGAUUCUGAGUUAGAACCCUCGUCUGGCUUAGCACAUAAGCCCUUAUCUUCUGGGCCCUAAAAUGAACACCCGCUGGUGAAACUGGGAAACGUCUGAGUUCCACUGGCAGACUAAACAGGGCAGGAGAUGAAAAAAAUUAAAAAAGAAAACACAAAAAGCUUGAAAAGGGGAGAGAAACGCAGCCAACUAAUUCACUAAGCAGGACAAGCCCGCAUCACGUGAGCUGCAGAGAGCUCUCCUGGCUUUCACGCGCUGGGCAGGAGCUCCUUUGAGUUUUCCUUCCUUAGAGUUCCCGUCGUGUCUCGGGAGCUCCCGACAUGGCUCAGCAGUUAAUGAACCCACUGGCAUCCACGAGGACACGGGUUCAAUCCCUGGCCUCGCUCGGUGGGUUAAGGAUCCGGCAUUGCCGGGAGCUGUGGUGUGGGUCGUAGAUGCGGCUCGGAUCCCGAGUUGCUGUGGCUGUGGGGUAGGCCGGCGGCUGUAGCUCCGAUUGGACCCCUAGCCUGGGAACCUCCCUAUGCUGCGGCUGUGGCCCUCAAAGACAAAAAGACCAAAAAAAAAGUUUUCCUUUCUUAAUUAUUAUUUUUACUUUUAAAGAGCAAGUGGAAGAUGUAUAUUUUGAUGAAGGAUGGUGUGGUUUUUUUGCAAGUCAUCUGAAGGAUGACUGGACGGCCAAGCAAAGGCUGUGGAUGCACUGAAUUCCUAGAAUGUGACUUUUUCUUUUCUUCCUGAGUAGGCCUGUCUGUUUGUUUAGGCAGACUUUGAGUUCGGUUGUUUGGAAGAAUGAACAUCACUGUUUUGUUCUGGAGAGAAGUCCUCGAUGGUGUCUGCUGCUGGUUCUUUAUCCCCACACGUUGACUCGGAUAUUAAAAUUCAGUACUUACAAGAAAGAGUUAAAAACACGACCAGCCACGCCUCGGUUAAAAUUACAAAUGAGAAAAAGGGAUGCCUCCUACACCAGCUUCCCAAUGUCCCCAUUUCUGUCAAGAAUACCAGGAUUCUUGCCGUGAGCCGAGCGCAAAGCCUAAGCAGCGUUCAUCCCAACGGCCUUUCUAGUCUGAAAAUAUGUCCUGUUGAUUUUUUCCAACCCCUCGAUUGUCUCACGUCCCUUUUCCCACCCUCAUGGACCUACUUCUGGACUUUAUCAGCUCAUGCUGGAACACAUGCAGUGGCCCUUUAACCUCCCCCCCAACCCCCCUGCUGUCAUUUCUAACCUCUUCCGUCUGGCACUUCUCUUAUUGCCAAUUAGAUCACGUCCAAUUCCUCGUGAAGUCAUCCAUAAUUUGGGCCACACCACCUGCUCAUCUUGCUCACGUCCUUACCUUGCGUUCACGGUCAUGUCGUCUAUCAGUGAUCUACGACUGAGGAACAAACCAACCCACACCUCCGUGCCUAAGACAACAGACCUUUAUUUUGCUCACGAAACUGAAGCAGGAAGAUCUCCGUGGAGCUGACUAGUCUGACCCAAGGUCAAGACGGCAGUUUCUGCUCAGCCAGGACUAUGGACAGGCACCUCUUCAUGUCCACCAGUGGCUGGGCUUCCUCAUGGUACGGGGGUUCCCAGGCUCAGCAUCCCAAGAGAACCAGGAGGGAGUUGUGCCACAUUUUAUGACCUAGCUUCCGGAGUCAAGCAGUGUCACUUCCACGAGGCCACUCAGAUUCAAGGGGAGGGGACAUAGUCGCCAUUCUUCAAUGGAAGGAGUGUCAAGUCACGGAGUAAAAGAAUCAUGCAGAAUGGGAGACACCAUUGCAGUCAUUUUUGGGGAAAUGCAAUCUGCCACCUGCAGCCUAUGAUUGGGGUGAUGGAUUUAGGACAAAUGCCAAGUAACACUUGCCAUCCAGUGGGCAGUGAGUGCAGGGUCACAUGCUCAGAUCUUGGAGUUGUCUGCCUCAUCUUGGAACCAAGACCACUCAGGCCAAUAAAAGCUGUGACUUUCCCACGUCAGGGUUAGUGGCAGAUUGGCCAUCAGCAGGCAGAUUUUUAUUCGGUGGGUUGGGUUUGGAUGAGGGUUUGAAAAUGUCUGCGUUAAAAACUCUCCACGAUGAUUCGCAUGAACAGGCAACUUUGGGAAACAUCAGGCUGGGAUUUAUCUCUCACUGUCCCUACAGUUGCCAGAGGACACACAGGCAGCUUGUUACCAGAAAUCCAGGAGGGUGUGGGUAUAUCACCGGAAUAUUUAGGGUCCUCUCCAAAUGGCAGCCGUCCUCAUCAGUCCACAGCCCGGCUGCACAAGCUAAUCUCCCUGGAUAAUUAGGCGAAUGACUAGUCAAGUUCCCAUCCUGCCCUGGAGAAACGGGAAUCAGGCACCAACUUGUUGGGGGUAAUUGAAUCCAUGCCAGUGUGCUGGCUCGCUGCCUUUCCCCCUCCAAGGAUUCAAGAGAGUAGCCUGUUGCCACAAGCAGAAGGUUUGGGUACCAGCGGCGACCAGGAACUGGCAGAGGCAAAGGCACCCUUCAUUAUGCAAUUAUCCAUAAUUAGGUGCUCAUUACUAUUUUACGAUCAGAGAGCCAGCACCCACCUGUGCAGGGCUGUCGUGGGGACUGGCGGGGCCGGGAGGCAGAGCCUCGCCUUUUCUCUAAGAACAUGACAUCGAACAUCAGCAGUGCCCACGCAACAUUGUAAAUCGACUCUACGUUGAUUUAAAUUAAAAAAAAAAUUUUUUUAAGAAUAAGGCUAUGACCAAAACAAACAAAAAACCCAAAAAACAAAAACACAAAAUAUUAAAACUUAUUUGGAAUGGGACUUUUAAAAGGUUAGAGGUGGAACUUAGGACUGGCCCUUUAGGGUUAGAGGCAGUAACAGUGACAAUGGCCAAGUGACUGUGAUCUUUCCUAGAAGGUGCGACCCAGAAUGUGAACCUGAUUUUGUUUUUUGUUUUUUGUCUUUUUGCCUUUGUCUAGGGCCGCUCCCACGGCAUAGGGAGGUUCCCAGGUUAGGGGUCAAAUCGGAACUGUAGCUGCCGGCCUACACCACAGCCACAGCAACACUGGAUCCUUAACCCACUGAGCGAGGCCAGGGAUCGAACCCGCAACCUCAUGGUUCCUAGUUCGAUUCGUUAAUCACUGAACCACAAAGGGAACUCCAUGCACCUGAUUUUGAUCAA
rnacentral:lncRNA from 1 species